UACGUAGGGUGCGAGCGUUGUCCGGAAUUAUUGGGCGUAAAGAGCUCGUAGGCGGUCUGUCGCGUCUGCCGUGAAAACCCGAGGCUUAACCUCGGGCUGGCGGUGGAUACGGGCAGACUAGAGGUAGGUAGGGGAGAAUGGAAUUCCCGGUGUAGCGGUGAAAUGCGCAGAUAUCGGGAGGAACACCGGUGGCGAAGGCGGUUCUCUGGGCCUUACCUGACGCUGAGGAGCGAAAGCGUGGGGAGCGAACAGG
rnacentral:rRNA from 1 species